UACGGGGGGGGUAAGCGUUGUUCGGAAUUACUGGGCGUAAAGGGCUCGUAGGCGGCCAACUAAGUCGGACGUGAAAUCCCUCAGCUUAACUGGGGAACUGCGUCUGAUACUGGAUGGCUUGGAUUUGGGAGAGGGAUGCGGAAUUCCAGGUGUAGCGGUGAAAUGCGUAGAUAUCAGGUGGAACACCAGUGGCGAAGGCGGCUUUCUGGACGGUAACUGACGCUGAGACGCGAAAGCGUGGGGAGCAAACAGG
rnacentral:rRNA from 1 species